rnacentral:rRNA from 1 species
CCUACGGGAGGCAGCAGUGGGGAAUAUUGCGCAAUGGGCGAAAGCCUGACGCAGCGACGCCGCGUGAGGGAUGAAGGUCUUCGGUAUGUAAAGCUCUAUCAGCAGGGAAGAAAAUGACGGUACCUGACUAAGAAGCCCCGGCUAACUACGUGCCAGCAGCCGCGGUAAUACGUAGGGGGCAAGCGUUAUCCGGAUUUACUGGGUGUAAAGGGAGCGUAGGUGGCAUGGUAAGCCAGAAGUGAAAACCCGGGGCUCAACCCCGCGGAUUGCUUUUGGAACUAUCAGGCUGGAGUGCUGGAGGGGUAAGCGGAAUUCCUAGUGUAGCGGUGAAAUGCGUAGAUAUUAGGAGGAACACCGGUGGCGAAGGCGACUUACUGGACAGAAACUGACACUGAGGCUCGAAAGCGUGGGGAGCAAACAGGAUUAGAUACCCCUGUAGUC